UUGAACGCUGGCGGCAGGCCUAACACAUGCAAGUCGAGCGGAUGAAGGGAGCUUGCUCCUGGAUUCAGCGGCGGACGGGUGAGUAAUGCCUAGGAAUCUGCCUGGUAGUGGGGGAUAACGUCCGGAAACGGGCGCUAAUACCGCAUACGUCCUGAGGGAGAAAGUGGGGGAUCUUCGGACCUCACGCUCUCAGAUGAGCCUAGGUCGGAUUAGCUAGUUGGUGGGGUAAAGGCCUACCAAGGCGACGAUCCGUAACUGGUCUGAGAGGAUGAUCAGUCACACUGGAACUGAGACACGGUCCAGACUCCUACGGGAGGCAGCAGUGGGGAAUAUUGGACAAUGGGCGAAAGCCUGAUCCAGCCAUGCCGCGUGUGUGAAGAAGGUCUUCGGAUUGUAAAGCACUUUAAGUUGGGAGGAAGGGCAGUAAGUUAAUACCUUGCUGUUUUGACGUUACCAGCAGAAUAAGCACCGGCUAACUUCGUG
rnacentral:rRNA from 1 species